rnacentral:rRNA from 1 species
GAUGAACGCUGACGGCGUGCCUAAUACAUGCAAGUCGAGCGAACGGACGAGAAGCUUGCUUCUCUGAUGUUAGCGGCGGACGGGUGAGUAACACGUGGAUAACCUACCUAUAAGACUGGGAUAACUUCGGGAAACCGGAGCUAAUACCGGAUAAUAUUUUGAACCGCAUGGUUCAAAAGUGAAAGACGGUCUUGCUGUCACUUAUAGAUGGAUCCGCGCUGCAUUAGCUAGUUGGUAAGGUAACGGCUUACCAAGGCAACGAUGCAUAGCCGACCUGAGAGGGUGAUCGGCCACACUGGAACUGAGACACGGUCCAGACUCCUACGGGAGGCAGCAGUAGGGAAUCUUCCGCAAUGGGCGAAAGCCUGACGGAGCAACGCCGCGUGAGUGAUGAAGGUCUUCGGAUCGUAAAACUCUGUUAUUAGGGAAGAGCAUAUGUGUAAGUAACUGUGCACAUCUUGACGGUACCUAAUCAGAAAGCCACGGCUAACUACGUG